CCUACGGGCGGCAGCAGUGAGGAAUAUUGGUCAAUGGGCGGGAGCCUGAACCAGCCAAGUCGCGUGAGGGAAGACGGUCCUAUGGAUUGUAAACCUCUUUAGGCGGGGAGCAAUGCCGGGCACGCGUGCCCGGAGGGAGAGUACCCGCAGAAUAAGCAUCGGCUAACUCCGUGCCAGCCGCCGCGGUAAUACGGAGGAUGCGAGCGUUAUCCGGAUUUAUUGGGUUUAAAGGGUGCGUAGGCGGAUUUUUAAGUCAGCGGUAAAAUGUCCGGGCUCAACCCGGGCCGGCCGUUGAAACUGGGGAUCUUGAGUGGGAGAGAAGUAUGCGGAAUGCGUGGUGUAGCGGUGAAAUGCAUAGAUAUCACGCAGAACUCCGAUUGCGAAGGCAGCAUACCGGCGCCCGACUGACGCUGAGGCACGAAAGCGUGGGGAUCGAACAGGAUUAGAUACCCGUGUAGUC
rnacentral:rRNA from 1 species